rnacentral:rRNA from 1 species
GACGAAGGAUGCAAGCGUUAUCCGGAUUCAUUGGGUUUAAAGGGAGCGUAGGUGGCCUUAUAAGUCAGUGGUGAAAUCCUGUUGCUUAACAACAGAAUUGCCAUUGAUACUGUAGGGCUUGAGUACAGAUGCCGUUGGCGGAAUAUGACAUGUAGUGGUGAAAUACAUAGCGAUGUCAUAGAACACCGAUUGCGAAGGCAGCUGACGAAACUGUAACUGACACUGAGGCUCGAAAGUGCGGGGAUCAAACAGG